rnacentral:rRNA from 1 species
UACGGGGGGGGCAAGCGUUGUUCGGAAUUACUGGGCGUAAAGGGCUCGUAGGUGGCCAACUAAGUCAGACGUGAAAUCCCUCGGCUUAACCGGGGAACUGCGUCUGAUACUGGAUGGCUUGAGUUCGGGAGAGGGAUGCGGAAUUCCAGGUGUAGCGGUGAAAUGCGUAGAUAUUACUUAGAACACCAAUUGCGAAGGCAGGUCACUAUGUCUUAACUGACGCUGAUGGACGAAAGCGUGGGGAGCGAACAGG